UACCUACGGGACGCAGCAGUAGGGAAUCUUCCACAAUGGACGAAAGUCUGAUGGAGCAACGCCGCGUGAGUGAAGAAGGGCUUCGGCUCGUAAAGCUCUGUUGGUAGUGAAGAAAGAUAGAGGUAGUAACUGGCCUUUAUUUGACGGUAAUUACUUAGAAAGUCACGGCUAACUACGUGCCAGCAGCCGCGGUAAUACGUAGGUGGCAAGCGUUGUCCGGAUUUAUUGGGCGUAAAGCGAGUGCAGGCGGUUCAAUAAGGCUGAUGUGAAAGGCUUCGGGGCAAACGGAGAAUUG
rnacentral:rRNA from 1 species